rnacentral:tRNA from 2 species
GGAGGAAUGGCCGAGUGGUUUAAGGCGCACGCCUGGAAAGCGUGUUGGGGUUCACGCCCCUCGGGGGUUCGAAUCCCCCUUCCUCCGCCA